CAGUAUGUUCAGUUGAUUAAUCUGUAUAUAUUUUUGGUUAUAUGCUCCUUUGCGACUGUGGGUGAGUGGGGAGCAGGUCGUCCUCCAAUCAGAGGGUUGUCGGUUCCAUCCCAGGCCCUGCUAACCCGCAUGUCGUUGUGUCCUUGGGCAAGGCACUGAACCCAACAUGGCUCCUGUAGCUGUGACUACAGUAGGUGGAUGUUAGUUACUGAUGGCAGGUGUCACUGUGUGUGGUUCUCCUUGUGUGAAUGGGUGUGAAUGGGUGAAUGAUGUCAUCAGUGUGUGAAUGGGUGUGAAUGAUGUCAUGUAGUGUUAAAGCGCUUUGAGUGGUCAGACUAUAAAAGCGCUUUACAAGUACAGUCCAUUUACCAUUUACUUUGUAUUUUGUGUGCAGUUAAGUUUCUGUUGUAUUAAGUUCAGUUCAUAUUAAGUUCUGCAGAAUGGUGAUUUCGAAUGAGGCACGUGAACCAGUUUCUGUCGUCCACUGUAAUUAACAGCUCACCUCACAUUAGAAGAAGACACCUCACAGGGGUUACACAUGUGCAGCUUCAUCAUCUGCUCUGUGACAUUUCUUCAGGUGCUGUUUGUCUCAGGAUUGCAUGUACCCAAGGCCAGGUGAGGGAGUGAGGGGGCCCCUCUUGUCCACAUGGAUGACAUAGGCCCUCCAUGCCUGUAGACAUACGGGGGCCAAGUGCAGCACAUAAGCUGGGACAGGAUGGACAUACUGUUCAAUAUUUGAGAGAAUGGUGCCAAAAUAAAAAUAUAGUAUUUUUAAUGAGGUUGUGUGUUAUGUUAUUUACAAAAAACAUACAUUUGCUAUUUCCCAUGCCAUAAUGACUCUUUUUAGCAUAGCCUGGCAUCGAACCGACAACCCUCUGAUUGGAGGACCCACGCCGGUGUCGAGGGAAUGGCCUUGAUGGUCAAACAUCCUGUGGAAUAACGGAGAACAGUUUCCACAGUUUCUAAAAGUCUGUAAUUGUAUUUUAAGAUUUUUGUAAAACAGCCUUGCUUACUGGUCAAAAGCAUGUUUGUUGCAUUAGGAGGGGUGGGCGUGUAUAGAGCGCAGUACGGGAUGGAGAAGUCUCUGUCAAUGAUAUAGAUUAAACAGCACUGUGAAGGAAACGAGAGCAGGAGCUGAUUGGACUGAGCGGCCCGGCCAUGAAAGGGGAAAGGAAGACUAAUGGCACGUGAUUGGCCGGGGAGCUGGGACAUAAAUGAGAGGCUGGUGGCCGGGACAAUGAGUAAUGACAACUCCUUCCCACAAUGAGGACAUCCACCUAUUGAGGAGCAUUGGCCUUUUGGACUGGAAGGCAGGCUCAUCUACCACACUUCCAUUGAGUAGCUCACACACAGACACACAAGGGGAGGCCGUAUGCGUGCACGUGAGACGCUCAACAUUUUGCUAAUGGCAUUUAAUAUGACCUAAAGUUAUCGUUUAAAUCAGAUUAACUCUUUUUUUUCUAUCACUGAGUGAUUUUUUAUAGUCACUGUGAGCAAUCAUAUGUCCAUAAAGUCACAUCCUUGAUUAGUCAUAAUUGUUUCUCUAGUUAACAAUGGCCAAUGCCAAAGAAGUGCAGCUAUCAAAAUGUAGAUCUAUGAGAUUAAUGCAGUCAAAUAUUUGAAGGCAGCGGUGUGCUGCAUGAAUACACAAGUACUCCGUGAAGGAAACUCUACUGUUGACAGUAACGGCAUUGGGACUAGAAGCAGUAGGUAUCAGCAGCACCAGGACCAGGUAGAACCUUGAUACAUGGAAACCUGCGAGGCCUGGUAAGCCAGCGCGCACUCAUUUUGUGCUUAACGUUACACAACGCGAUCCGUCACCUCAACCAGAGGACACUCUGAGCUUUCACUGUCCGUUUACUGAGAGCGUCCUCUCCUUUAUCCGCCGUACCAACCUAUUUCCUCAUAGAGAGCCGCCUGGAUGGGACAACCUUGUAAUUCUCUCUGAUUAAUUCUGCACGUUGGCCUGAUGGCAGCCAUGGGUGCUCUGUAAUUGCAAUGUUAUUUUCAUGCUGCUUUAAGUGGGACCUUAUUAUAGGAAAUAGAGUGGCGGGUGCAGCUGUUCAGUGAGUGAAGGAUCUCCUCCUAUGUUUGCGGUUUGCGUAGGUCAGUCAGGGCUGAGAGGAAUUGAGGUAUAUCUGCUCUCCUAUUGUCAACGGCAACGAUAUCUCGUGGACACAACACCGCUGUAGUAAAUAUUGAAUGUUCGACGAGUACUCCACGUAAUGCCUUUUGAAUAACUUCAGUCACAAUGGUAAUGCAAUGAUCCUCAAUGUGUAAUGUAGACAUCAGUUGGCAGUGUGAAAAGUUAUGGCUUUUGUUGUGAUAUUUUGAAUUAAUUUUGUCAAAUAGAGGUGUACUUAUAGAGCAGACUUUUUAUAUUUUAUUGGGUCCUGUCCACAAAGAGCUUCAUGAAGAAAAAUUGACAAAAUAGUCAAAGUGAAGCAAGUGGAGUGCAGUGGAAACUUCUUUUUCACUUCAUUAUAUCAGUAAGCAAAUAAUUAUGUUUUUUUGGAGUAGACCCUGAAUAUUCAAUGUAACCACAUAUCUCUUUCAGACAAAUUUAUAAGUUUCCCUCUGAAGUUGAAUUGCACAGUUAGAUCUAAAUAGGUGAGUUGCAUAUUUUGAAGUGCUUUAUUUAAGCAGUAAGGUAAGAGGCUUAUUUUAUAAUGUAACAGCUCAAGGCCAUUGUUAGACCCGGCGCGCAGCGGAGGGCCGCCAACUGUUACAUUAUUGACAAAAUACUUUUAACAUACGGUUACUAGCAACAUUAUAAAUAGUAAGUACAUAGCUGCUUUUCAGCACAAAAUAGUUGUAGCCACCAAACGUCUUUCAGUAGCCAGAGAACAAUAGUACGUGCAGGUAAACAGCAUUGGGUGUCUCAUUCAUUCACAUCGCUCAGGACGUCCACCUGAAUUGUCCGGGUUGUGUGUGCCGCAUUGCCCCAAACCCACCAUGUGUGGUGUUUCACGCCAAGUCUAACCCGUUACUGUGAGUGAACAGUCAAUGAACAGCAACUGAACAAUGCGACUCACUCUCAACCAAUCAGAAUGCUGGAUUUCAUCUACCGUCUUUAGUACAAUGAUUUAGAAUAGUUACAUAAUUCAUUGAGUGCAGAGCCAAACUCCUUUGGUAUCUCACGUGUUUAUUACACUUCUCUAUUAUUCUCCUUCCGUACAAAAGUUUGGCGCGCUUCUCCUGCAGCGCUGCUCGCACAGGUCUCAAAACGCGGAGGUUACGGCUGGGGGGGUGGGGGGGGGCACGGCAGACAAGUGCCUAAAACAGCCAGAGAACAUCUGUCAUGUCUUUGGCUAGCCAGCCAGUUGUUUAUCUAGCUAGCCAGUUGUAUAAGCCACAGGGUUCAAAGUGUGGGGUAAAGGUAGCUAGCUAGCCAGUUGUUUAGCUAGCUAGCCUGUUGUAUAAGCCGCAGGGUUCAAAGCAUGGGGAAAAGGUAGCUAGCUAGCCAGUUGUUUAGCUAGCUAGCCUGUUGUUUAGCUAGCUAGCCAGUUGUAUAAGCCACAGGGUUCAAAGCGUGGGGAAAAGGUAGCUAGCUAGCCAGUUGUUUAGCUAGCUAGCCU
ensembl:lncRNA